CGACCGGCGCACGGGUGAGUAACACGUAUCCAACCUGCCGUCUACUCUUGGACAGCCUUCUGAAAGGAAGAUUAAUACAAGAUGGCAUCAUGAGUCCGCAUGUUCACAUGAUUAAAGGUAUUCCGGUAGACGAUGGGGAUGCGUUCCAUUAGAUAGUAGGCGGGGUAACGGCCCACCUAGUCUUCGAUGGAUAGGGGUUCUGAGAGGAAGGUCCCCCACAUUGGAACUGAGACACGGUCCAAACUCCUACGGGAGACAGCAUG
rnacentral:rRNA from 1 species